rnacentral:tmRNA from 1 species
AACUUUUAUUUCCCUGCAUUUGCCUGUUAUACUGAAUGGGCCAGUUUCGGCUGGCUAUGACGAUAAACGUGAUGUGGAAUAAGCAGGGCGGACCCGGGGGCGGUACCCGGCGCCUCCACCAAACAUUGACCAAUGGCUGUAAGCGGGGUUGAAUUUUGGGGGCGAAACAGGAUCGACGCAUGUGG